ACCUGGGUGGCUCAGUCAGUUAAGCAUCUGACUUUGGCUCAGGUCAUGAUCUCAUAGUUUGUGGGUUUGAGCCCCAUGUCAGGUU
rnacentral:tRNA from 1 species